rnacentral:rRNA from 1 species
UUUGACCUCGGAUCAGGUAGGAAUACCCGCUGAACUUAAGCAUAUCAAUAAAGCGGAG